CUUGGACUUACACCAGUGGUUUUCCAGGGGCUCUGGAGCCUUUGGCCACAGACUGAAGGCUGCACUGUUGGCUUUUCUACUUUUGAGGUUUUGGGACUCAGACUGUCUUCCUUGCUCCUCAGCUUGCAGAUGGCCUAUUGUGGGACUUCACUUUAUGUCUGUUGCCCCAUCAGUGCAGAAUUCCAAUGGGUCCACAAGUGUGGGCAUGCAACAAGACUCAAAGCAAGUACAAGACCAAAGUGAAAUGUGACCUGCAGCUUUGAGAUGUCUCCUAGAAUGAAUAAUCUCCAGGUAUAUUCAAAACCAUUAAUUGCCUCUGAAGGGAGCAAAAUGAGGCUUCCCCAGAAUCCUGUUAUUUGAAGGAGAGAUACUGAGCUCAGUGUUUGCUGCUUCAGUGAGUUCCUAUGGCCAAGCUCUUCCGGCAUAGCCCUCUAGGAAUUCCAGCUGAGAGCCUGCCAGUAGCCUACCAGGGCUCCUCCCCUUCCAGAUGCUGACCUCUCAUCUUUGUCACUUCCACAUCACAGACUGUCAAUAACUCCUAUAUGCUUUGGAGAAGAUGUCUACUAACUACUUGGCCUCCAGCCUCCACAUAACUCGAGAAUUUGACAAGUGUCUUGAAAGAAAAACUGAUGAUGGGUCAGGAUCAGUCUUCCCUGCUCAGUAGAUCCUUACCCCUCAAGUCUUUCCACUACUACAAGACACCAAAAGCUUUCCUGGUUUCUCUAUCUCCUCUACCUAGAGAAUACCAGGUUCUCAGACAUUAGCUCUAGGUCCAAAAUCAAGCCGGUUUUUCUUUUGCAGGGAAAAACUGGCCGAAUAGUGUUAACUCACUAGUCUUCCCCUUUCUGGAAUCUUGGCAUUUCUAGUUUUGGUUGCCCUAGCAGCUCUCCAAUGCCUUUAAACAGAUGUCUUCUGCUUCUAUUAGGCUUGUUCUUGGCUGAGGCCUUGGUCUGCUGGAAAAUACUGCCACAUACGCAGAAGUAGAAGUCUCUUGAGACAUCAUCUUAUUAGUUAUUUAUUGCCAUGUAACAAAUUACAUGGAAACUUAGUGACUUAAAGAAACAAUAAAAAUUUAUUAUCUCACAUUUUCUGUGCAUCAGAAUUCUGUGGGAUAGGAGCAGCAUAGCAGAUGGUUCUGGCAAAGAAUCUCUCAUAAGGUUGUAGCCCAAUGUUGCCUCGGGCUUGAGAAUGAGCUUCCAAAAGAGUUCACCCUCAUGACUGCCAAGCAGGUGCUGGCUAUUGUAAGAAAGUCUGUCCGUUUUCACACAGGCCUGUUACGAGUAUUUUCAUGACAUGGCAGGUGACUUCACCACAAUAAGGGAAGCAAGAACAGGAAAAAUGGAAGUGUGCAUGUCUUCUAUGACUGAGCCUUAGAAAUUACACUCUUUCCUUUCUGCAAUAUCCUAUUAGUUACGCAGAUCAGUCUUAUUAAAUGUAGAAGAAGAUACACAGAAAACAAACACCAGGGAACAGAAAUCAUUAUCAGUAAGGCCUAUCUAAAAGAAAAUUAUAUUUAAAAUAAAAUUCUUCAUAUAGAUGGAGAAAUUUAAGAAGUUGUUUUGCUGCAGUAAUGAUCAUUACAAAAUAACUACAAAGUUGUGCUUCUAGUGUUGGUUGCAAUUCUGCUCCUAUCUCAUGCACCUUCUUCAUUCAAGGAUCCAGGCUUGAAUAGCAACCUGCAUCUGGAAUAUGCUAUUCUGGUGACAGAGGGAAAUAAGAGCAAGAACCAUAGCACACAAAGGCCCUCAAUUGUUUACUUAGCUAUGGUAUACAUCACUUCUGCCUACAUUUCAUUGACCAAAGCAAGUCAUAUGGCCAAACCAGAUAACAAUGGAGUAUGAAAGUACAUUUCUCUAAUAGACAGGCACUGCUAGUACCAUGGUAAUCAUAGGGAUAUAUAUCAUAUUUCAGGGAAGUAAAGAAUGAAUAAUUAGGAUCAAUAAUAAAAUCUACCAUGAAUAUCUAGUAUGCACAAAGCAGUCAUAUAAUAAUAAAUUCUAUUUAAAAAGGGCAGCUCAGCUGGGUGCACAUAGCCACAUUUAUAAUUCUGGCUUCAGUCUUGAAAAGAAGAAAACUGUCAAACCAUUUCUACUUUUCGAGGCUUUUAAUUGUUUUCUCAUUUUUAGUCAUGUUUCAGUGAAAUACUUUGGAUAAUAUCAUGAUUACCAAAUCAGUAACUUCAUUUUUUAUUCUACUUUAAAAUUACAUUUAUUCUACUUUAUAAAUGAAGUAUGAAUCUGAUCCAAUUGUAUUCAAAUGACAUUCUAAAAAAAGUAUAUAGAAAAACAAACUGAGAACAAUCUAAGAAUGUUUUAUAAACUAUCUGGAAAGAUUGUUAGGUAUCAAUUGUGGAAAAAGAUUAGAAUCAAAUCUUAAAAUUUUUUACUUAGUAUUUUUCUAAUAAUUCAACAUUACUAAAAAUUAAAUUGAUACUAUAAUAAUUAAUGACCUUUAGUCCUGACAUGUAGAAUGUGUCCAUUCUCUGAGAUAAUACAAUGACAAAAUUAUUAUGCUUAAUACUACACCCAGAAAUAUUAUUUUUAGCAUCCAAACUAGAUUUUUCAUAUUUAUAAUUGUGCAUGGAAACAAUCUGAUAAUCAUAUUUUAAGACCAUAUAUUCUGACAUGGAGUUGCAGAACUGUGAUGAUCAUAAGCCUAUAUGUCUGAAAAGAAUACAUUGUGACUAAGACUUACACUAAACACAAAACAACACUGAUUUCUAGUAUCUUUUGCCAGAUAUACAGCUCUACUGUCCUUGUUUAGGUUUGCUGAUUCAAAUUUCUGUAAGAGUUGGGGUGGUCUUAUGAGGGUAGGAGGAAUUCUAUGCUAACAUUGGAAUGAAGCACAAGAAAAAUUAAAAGUUUUACAACCAUAUGGAAUGCAGUGACUUAUCACUUGAUAAAACAGAAUUUAACUGUUCAAGCCCUCAGCUAUGUAGUUUGGUUCAGCUCUAAUUAAUAAUAUUAAUUCCAUUCAUGUUCUUGGGUUCUAGUUUUCACAGCUUUCAUAAAACUAAUUCUAACUUUUAUACAAUUGAAUGUCCACAUAAGCCAGGCUAGCUAAUAUAUAUUAGUUUGAAAAAUUGCUUUUAUGUGAUACUUCACCCAAAUACUUUUUUUCUAUCUAAUAUCUCUAUCAACCAGGUAAGAAAUUGUUUUCACCAUGCAAUCUGUCAAAAUUACCAAUUUUACAAAAACAUUGGCAUCAAUUUUUCUUUUUCUUUUUCUUUAUUUCUUUUUUUCUGAGAUGGAGUCUGGCUCUGUGCCCAGGCUGGAGUGCAGUGGCGCGAUCUCGGCUCACUGCAAGCUCCGCCUCACGGGUUCACGUCAUUCUCCCGCCUCGGCCUCCC
rnacentral:lncRNA from 10 species